CCUACGGGUGGCAGCAGUGGGGAAUAUUGCGCAAUGGGCGAAAGCCUGACACAGCGACGCCGCGUGAGGGAUGAAGGUCUUCGGAUCGUAAACCUCUGUCAGCAGGGAAGAACGGUCACUGUGCUAAUCAGCAGUGAAUUGACGGUACCUGCAAAGGAAGCACCGGCUAACUCCGUGCCAGCAGCCGCGGUAAUACGGAGGGUGCGAGCGUUAAUCGGAAUUACUGGGCGUAAAGCGCUCGUAGGCGGUAUGUCAAGUCAAGGGUGAAAUCCCCGCGCUCAACGUGGGAACUGCCUUUGAAACUGGCAAACUGGAGUGUGUGAGAGGAUAGUGGAAUUCCAGGUGUAGGAGUGAAAUGCGUAGAUAUCUGGAGGAACAUCAGUGGCGAAGGUGACUAUCUGGCACAUAACUGACGCUGAGGAGCGAAAGCGUGGGUAGCAAACAGGAUUAGAUACCCUAGUAGUC
rnacentral:rRNA from 1 species